rnacentral:lncRNA from 1 species
GUAGCAUCGAUGCCACCAUUAAUGAAUGAAUUGAAAUCGAAUUGUAGUUUUUAGAUUAUGUUUGUUUUUUAUUUGCGGGGUUUUGUUGGAUGAUUGAUGGGGUGCAGAAAGAAUUAGAGUUUAUGGAAAAUGGGAUUGAAGCAAGCAGAAAGAGGCAACUUCUCGAUUUUUUGAGAAUUUUUUGGGUUAUUCAUUUUUGGCAAAAUUUUGGUCAAAUUUGAUUGGAAACGUGUCAAUGAAUAAGAUUCAGCAGCUUUGUUUCUGAUGUAGGCCCAAUUUUGGGCGAAUUCCUUCGUUUAGGC